rnacentral:rRNA from 1 species
AGAGUUUGAUCCUGGCUCAGGAUGAACGCUAGCGACAGGCUUAACACAUGCAAGUCGAGGGGCAGCACGGUGUAGCAAUACACUGGUGGCGACCGGCGCACGGGUGAGUCACACGUGUGCAACCAACCCCGUACCGGGAGAUAACCCGCGGAAACGUGGACUAACAUCCCAUAACACUCUUCCAUCGCAUGAUGGGGGAUUUAAAACCCCGGUGGUACGGGACGGGCACGCGCGACAUUAGGUAGUUGGCGGGGUAACGGCCCACCAAGCCGACGAUGUCCAGGGGUUCUGAGAGGAAGGUCCCCCACACUGGAACUGAGACACGGUCCAGACUCCUACGGGAGGCAGCAGUGAGGAAUAUUGGUCAAUGGGCGAGAGCCUGAACCAGCCAAGUCGCGUGAGGGAAGAAUGGUCUAUGGCCUGUAAACCUCUUUUACGAGAGAAGAAUAAGAAGCACGCGUGCUUUGAUGCCAGUAUCUCGUGAAUAAGCAUCGGCUAACUCCGUGCCAGCAGCCGCGGUAAUACGGGGGAUGCGAGCGUUAUCCGGAUUUAUUGGGUUUAAAGGGCGCGUAGGCGGGACGCCAAGUCAGCGGUAAAAGACUGCAGCUAAACUGUAGCACGCCGUUGAAACUGGCGCCCUAGAGAGAAGUCGAGGGAGGCGGAACAAGUGAAGUAGCGGUGAAAUGCAUAGAUAUCACUUGGAACCCCGAUAGCGAAGGCAGCUUCCCAGCCUUUAUCUGACGCUGAUGCGCGAGAGCGUGGGUAGCGAACAGGAUUAGAUACCCUGGUAGUCCACGCCGUAAACGAUGCUCACUGGAUCUUGGCGAUACACGGCCAGGGUUCAAGCGAAAGUAUUAAGUGAGCCACCUGGGGAGUACGUCGGCAACGAUGAAACUCAAAGGAAUUGACGGGGGCCCGCA